rnacentral:rRNA from 1 species
UACGGAGGGGCUAGCGUUGUCCGGAAUCAUUGGGCGUAAAGAGCUCGUAGGUGGCCUGUCGCGUCGGCUGUGAAACUCGGGCUCAACUCCGAGCUUGCAGUCGAUACGGGCAGGCUAGAGUUCGGCAGGGGAGACUGGAAUUCCUGGUGUAGCGGUGAAAUGCGCAGAUAUCAGGAGGAACACCGGUGGCGAAGGCGGGUCUCUGGGCCGAUACUGACGCUGAGGUGCGAAAGCGUGGGGAGCAAACAGG